AGCGAACGCUGGCGGCAGGCCUAACACAUGCAAGUCGAACGGAUCCUUCGGGAUUAGUGGCGGACGGGUGAGUAACACGUGGGAACGUGCCCUUUGGUUCGGAACAACUCAGGGAAACUUGAGCUAAUACCGGAUGUGCCCUUCGGGGGAAAGAUUUAUCGCCAUUGGAGCGUCCCGCGUCUGAUUAGCUAGUUGGUGAGGUAAAGGCUCACCAAGGCGACGAUCAGUAGCUGGCCUGAGAGGAUGAUCAGCCACAUUGGGACUGAGACACGGCCCAAACUACUACGGGAGGCAGCAGUGGGGAAUCUUGCGCAAGGGGCGAAAGCCUGACGCAGCCAUGCCGCGUGAAUGAUGAAGGUCUUAGGAUUGUAAAAUUCUUUCACCGGGGACGAUAAUGACGGUACCCGGAGAAGAAGCCCCGGCUAACUUCGUGCCAGCCGCCGCAGUAAGAC
rnacentral:rRNA from 1 species